AUGAACGCUGGCGGCGUGCCUAAUACAUGCAAGUCGAGCGAACAGACGAGGAGCUUGCUCCUCUGACGUUAUCUUCGGACGGGUGAGUAACACGUGGAUAACCUACCUAUAAGACUGGGAUAACUUCGGGAAACCGGAGCUAAUACCGGAUAAUAUAUUGAACCGCAUGGUUCAAUAGUGAAAGACGGUUUUGCUGUCACUUAUAGAUGGAUCCGCGCCGCAUUAGCUAGUUGGUAAGGUAACGGCUUACCAAGGCAACGAUGCGUAGCCGACCUGAGAGGGUGAUCGGCCACACUGGAACUGAGACACGGUCCAGACUCCUACGGGAGGCAGCAGUAGGGAAUCUUCCGCAAUGGGCGAAAGCCUGACGGAGCAACGCCGCGUGAGUGAUGAAGGUCUUCGGAUCGUAAAACUCUGUUAUUAGGGAAGAACAAAUGUGUAAGUAACUAUGCACGUCUUGACGGUACCUAAUCAGAAAGCCACGGCUAACUACGUG
rnacentral:rRNA from 1 species